rnacentral:rRNA from 1 species
UACGUAGGGUGCGAGCGUUGUCCGGAAUUACUGGGCGUAAAGAGCUCGUAGGUGGUUUGUCGCGUUGUUCGUGAAAACUCACAGCUCAACUGUGGGCGUGCGGGCGAUACGGGCAGACUGGAGUACUGCAGGGGAGACUGGAAUUCCUGGUGUAGCGGUGGAAUGCGCAGAUAUCAGGAAGAACACCCGUGGCGAAGGCGGCUCUCUGGGACGUGACUGACGCUGAGACGCGAAAGCCGUGGGGAGCGAACAGG